UACAGAGGUCCCAAGCGUUGUUCGGAUUCACUGGGCGUAAAGGGUGCGUAGGCGGUCGGGUAAGUCUGAUGUGAAAUCUCACAGCUUAACUGUGAAACUGCAUUGGAUACUAUCCGGCUCGAGGAAUGGAGGGGAGACUGGAAUACUUGGUGUAGCAGUGAAAUGCGUAGAUAUCAUUUGGAACGCCAAUGGUGAAAACAGGUAGCUGGGGCUGUGCUGACGCUGAGACACGAAAGCCAGGGGAGCAAACGGG
rnacentral:rRNA from 1 species